AUUACCGCGGCUGCUGGCACGUAGUUAGCCGGUGCUUAUUCUUCCGGUACCGUCAUCCCCACCCGGUAUUAACAGGCAGGUUUUCUUUCCGGACAAAAGUGCUUUACAACCCGAAGGCCUUCUUCACACACGCGGCAUUGCUGGAUCAGGGUUGCCCCCAUUGUCCAAAAUUCCCCACUGCUGCCUCCCGUAGG
rnacentral:rRNA from 1 species